CAGCUCAUCUAUCGCAGGGAUUCUUAACCUUAAUAUGAGCCACCUUGUGCCAUUUUUUUCCUCAACGAUGCUUGGUGUAUGGGGCCAAGUUCUUUUCAACAUCUUCUUUGAGACGUCUUAACAUCAUGGGUUUCAAGAUACCUUGAAGUUUUUGUACCUAGCAACGUGAGAGACAUGAAUAAGCUUUUUCAGAUCACCAAACUCUUGCAUGAAGUUGCUCUCUGAAGGGAAGCGUUCGGGUUCUAGGAAAUUCAGCAGGCUGAAAAGCUCCUCCACAGUGUUUUGCAAAGGGGUCCCUGUUAGCAGCACUUUGUGUUCCUGAA